CUUGGAGAGUCUCCCUACCCCCCAUUCCCCAUUCUGACCACUGAAAUGCCCUGUCGCCCCCGGUCCCCGUAGUCUGACCCUUAGAGGCCCCCCAUCCUGAUCGCUAGUGUCCUCUGUCCCUCCGUGUGUCCCCCCAUGCCUCCGCACUGACUCCUUUCUCCCUCCCACCACUCUCUCGAUCUGACCCCUAGGGUGCCCCUCCUCCCCUCCACGGUCCCCUGUCCCCUUCCCCCCCCUCCGAUGCCUGAGAUAAUGAAGUGGACUACUAUGGAAAAAGGCAUCGUUACUUGCGAGAACGUGCCGCGGUGGAAAUGUUACAUGACCCCACGUUUAUUCCUCUAAAUUCUGAUCCCCAUUCAAAUUCCAAUCCAAACCGAGACCGUCAUCCCGAGAGAGUCAGGUGUACACCGGAUAUGUGGUGUAUAUUCACAAGAUCUGCCCCCGCCAUUUUGAAAGUAACUGAAAGUGACUGGAUGGAAUGGAGAGUAAUCGAGAAGAUGUGAUGGAGGAACUGUCUACUGUGCUUCAUCGUGACGAACCCCAUGAACCCGUGGUGAUAUGAGACACAGCUGAUGAGGAUCAGGAUUAUCAAAACAGCCUACUGGAGGGGCUGAUCAAAUUGGUUUCCUCCCAGCCUGCAUCAUCCGGUAUCUCAGCUAUGAAGAGAAGACGUGCUCCAGCUCGAGCAAGUGACAACAGUAAGACUAUGUUGCGUAUUGCCUUGUGGAAUUACCUGCGUCAGCAUGGGGAAAAUGUGAAGAAGUGGCAUAAAAAACCCACUCCUGCACUGUGAGCACAGGUAAAAGAACUACAAGACAGAUCAACCA
ensembl:lncRNA